AGAGUUUGAUCCUGGCUCAGGACGAACGCUGGCGGCGUGCCUAAUACAUGCAAGUCGAACGCUUCUUUUUCCACCGGAGCUUGCUCCACCGGAAAAAGAGGAGUGGCGAACGGGUGAGUAACACGUGGGUAACCUGCCCAUCAGAAGGGGAUAACACUUGGAAACAGGUGCUAAUACCGUAUAACAAUCGAAACCGCAUGGUUUCGAUUUGAAAGGCGCUUUCGGGUGUCGCUGAUGGAUGGACCCGCGGUGCAUUAGCUAGUUGGUGAGGUAACGGCUCACCAAGGCGACGAUGCAUAGCCGACCUGAGAGGGUGAUCGGCCACAUUGGGACUGAGACACGGCCCAAACUCCUACGGGAGGCAGCAGUAGGGAAUCUUCGGCAAUGGACGAAAGUCUGACCGAGCAACGCCGCGUGAGUGAAGAAGGUUUUCGGAUCGUAAAACUCUGUUGUUAGAGAAGAACAAGGAUGAGAGUAACUGUUCAUCCCUUGACGGUAUCUAACCAGAAAGCCACGGCUAACUACGUGCCAGCAGCCGCGGUAAUACGUAGGUGGCAAGCGUUGUCCGGAUUUAUUGGGCGUAAAGCGAGCGCAGGCGGUUUCUUAAGUCUGAUGUGAAAGCCCCCGGCUCAACCGGGGAGGGUCAUUGGAAACUGGGAGACUUGAGUGCAGAAGAGGAGAGUGGAAUUCCAUGUGUAGCGGUGAAAUGCGUAGAUAUAUGGAGGAACACCAGUGGCGAAGGCGGCUCUCUGGUCUGUAACUGACGCUGAGGCUCGAAAGCGUGGGGAGCAAACAGGAUUAGAUACCCUGGUAGUCCACGCCGUAAACGAUGAGUGCUAAGUGUUGGAGGGUUUCCGCCCUUCAGUGCUGCAGCUAACGCAUUAAGCACUCCGCCUGGGGAGUACGACCGCAAGGUUGAAACUCAAAGGAAUUGACGGGGGCCCGCACAAGCGGUGGAGCAUGUGGUUUAAUUCGAAGCAACGCGAAGAACCUUACCAGGUCUUGACAUCCUUUGACCACUCUAGAGAUAGAGCUUCCCCUUCGGGGGCAAAGUGACAGGUGGUGCAUGGUUGUCGUCAGCUCGUGUCGUGAGAUGUUGGGUUAAGUCCCGCAACGAGCGCAACCCUUAUUGUUAGUUGCCAUCAUUUAGUUGGGUACUCUAGCAAGACUGCCGGUGACAAACCGGAGGAAGGUGGGGAUGACGUCAAAUCAUCAUGCCCCUUAUGACCUGGGCUACACACGUGCUACAAUGGGAAGUACAACGAGUCGCAAAGUCGCGAGGCUAAGCUAAUCUCUUAAAGCUUCUCUCAGUUCGGAUUGUAGGCUGCAACUCGCCUACAUGAAGCCGGAAUCGCUAGUAAUCGCGGAUCAGCACGCCGCGGUGAAUACGUUCCCGGGCCUUGUACACACCGCCCGUCACACCACGAGAGUUUGUAACACCCGAAGUCGGUGAGGUAACCUUUUGGAGCCAGCCGCCUAAGGUGGGAUAGAUGAUUGGGGUGAAGUCGUAACAAGGUAGCCGUAUCGGAAGGUGCGGCUG
rnacentral:rRNA from 1 species